ensembl:snRNA U6 U6 spliceosomal RNA
GUACUUACUUUGUGGCAUCACAUAUACUAAAAUUGGAACAAUAUAGAGAGGAUUGGCACGUCCUCUAUGCAAGGAUAACAUGAAAAUUUGUGAAUUGUUCUAUUUUUCA